rnacentral:rRNA from 1 species
GCAAGUCGAACGAGAAAGUACCUUCGGGUGCGAGUACAGUGGCGGACGGGUGAGUAACGCGUAGGAAUAUACCUAGUAGUGGGGGACAACUCGGGGAAACUCGAGCUAAUACCGCAUACGCUCUACGGAGGAAAGUGGGGGAUCUUCGGACCUCACGCUAUUGGAGUAGCCUGCGUUGGAUUAGCUAGUUGGUGGGGUAAUGGCCUACCAAGGCAACGAUCCGUAGCUGGUCUGAGAGGAUGACC